AACGCUAGCUACAGGCUUAACACAUGCAAGUCGAGGGGCAGCAUGGUCUUAGCUUGCUAAGGCCGAUGGCGACCGGCGCACGGGUGAGUAACGCGUAUCCAACCUGCCUUACACUCUUGGACAGCCUUCUGAAAGGGAGAUUAAUACAAGAUGUUAUCAUGAGUAAGCAUUUUCGCAUGAUUAAAGGUUUACCGGUGUAAGAUGGGGAUGCGUUCCAUUAGAUAGUAGGCGGGGUAACGGCCCACCUAGUCUUCGAUGGACAGGGGUUCUGAGAGGAAGGUCCCCCACAUUGGAACUGAGACACGGUCCAAACUCCUACGGGAGGCAGCAGUGAGGAAUAUUGGUCAAUGGACGAGAGUCUGAACCAGCCAAGUAGCGUGAAGGAUGAAGGUUCUAUGGAUUGUAAACUUCUUUUAUACGGGAAUAAACGAAUCCACGUGUGGAUUUUUGCAUGUACCGUAUGAAUAAGGAUCGGCUAACUCCGUGCCAGCAGCCGCGGUAAUACGGAGGAUCCGAGCGUUAUCCGGAUUUAUUGGGUUUAAAGGGAGCGUAGAUGGGUUGUUAAGUCAGUUGUGAAAGUUUGCGGCUCAACCGUAAAAUUGCAAUUGAUACUGGCAGUCUUGAGUACAGUUGAGGUAGGCGGAAUUCGUGGUGUAGCGGUGAAAUGCUUAGAUAUCACGAAGAACUCCGAUUG
rnacentral:rRNA from 1 species